rnacentral:rRNA from 1 species
UACGAAGGGGGCUAGCGUUGCUCGGAAUCACUGGGCGUAAAGGGUGCGUAGGCGGGGCUUUAAGUCCGGGGUGAAAUCCUGGAGCUCAACUCCAGAACUGCCUUUGAUACUGAAGAUCUUGAGUUCGGGAGAGGUGAGUGGAACUGCGAGUGUAGAGGUGAAAUUCGUAGAUAUUCGCAAGAACACCAGUGGCGAAGGCGGCUCACUGGCCCGGUACUGACGCUGAGGUGCGAAAGCGUGGGGAGCAAACAGG